rnacentral:rRNA from 1 species
UACGUAGGGUGCAAGCGUUAAUCGGAAUUACCGGGCGUAAAGCGUGCGCAGGCGGUUGUGCAAGACAGGUGUGAAAUCCCCGGGCUCAACCUGGGAACUGCAUCCGAAACUGCCUUGCUCGAGUAUGGGAGAGGGAAGUGGAAUUUCCGGUGUAGCGGUGAAAUGCGUAGAUAUCGGAAGGAACAUCAGUGGCGAAGGCGACUUCCUGGACCAAUACUGACGCUCAGGUGCGAAAGCGUGGGGAGCAAACAGG